UUUGCUUACAAAGGUAUUGUAAUAAGAUUUUAAUUGAAUGCUAAAAGAAUGGAAGUUUAGAAAAAGUCUUUUUUAAAAAUAAAAAUUAAAAUUUUUUUAAUUUGUGCAAAAACAAUUAUUCAUAUUAAAGACAAGAAGACCCUAAGAAUUUUCUGGUUUAAUAAUUUAUAUAUUUAAUUUAUUAAACCUUGAUUGGGGCGAUCAAAAAAUAUUAAUAACUUUUUUUCAUUAAAAUGAUCUAUUAUUAAUAAAUCAAUGAAUUAAAUACUCUAGGGAUAACAGCGUAAUAAUUUUUGAUAGAUCUUAUAGACAAAAUAGUUUGCGACCUCGAUGUUGGAUUAGGAUUCUUUUUUGGUGAAGAAACCAAAAAAAGAAGUUUGUUCAACUUUUAAAUUCCUACUUGAUCUGAGUUCAGACCGG
rnacentral:rRNA from 1 species